AACGAACGCUGGCGGCAGGCCUAACACAUGCAAGUCGAACGCCCCGCAAGGGGAGUGGCGCACGGGUGAGUAACGCGUGGGAAUAUGCCCUUCGGUUCGGAAUAACACAGGGAAACUUGUGCUAAUACCGGAUACGAUCUACGGAUGAAAGAUUUAUCGCCGAGGGAGUAGCCCGCGUAGGAUUAGUUAGUUGGUGAGGUAAUGGCUCACCAAGGCGACGAUCCUUAGCUGGUCUGAGAGGAUGACCAGCCACACUGGGACUGAGACACGGCCCAGACUCCUACGGGAGGCAGCAGUGGGGAAUAUUGGACAAUGGGCGCAAGCCUGAUCCAGCCAUGCCGCGUGAGUGAUGAAGGCCUUAGGGUUGUAAAGCUCUUUCGUCCGGGACGAUAAUGACGGUACCGGAAGAAGAAGCCCCGGCUAACUUCGUGCCAGCCGCCGCCGUAA
rnacentral:rRNA from 1 species